GAUGAACGCUGGCGGCGUGCCUAACACAUGCAAGUCGAGCGAACGGACGAGAAGUUUGCUUCUCUGAUGUUAGCGGCGGACGGGUGAGUCACACGUGUAUGACCUACCUAUAGGACUGGGGUAACUUCACGAAACCGGAUCUAAUACCCGAAAAUAUUUUGAACCUGAUGGUUCAAAAGUGAAAGACGGUCUUGCUGUGACUAAUAGAUGGAUCCGCGCUGCAUUAGCUAGUUGGUAAGGUAACGGCUUACCAAGGCAACGAUGCAUAACCGACCUGAGAGGGUGAUCAGACACACUGGAACUGAGACACGGUCCAGACUCCUACGGGAGGCAGCAGUAGGGAAUCUUCCGCAAUGGGCGAAAGCCUGACGGAGCAACGCCGCGUGAGUGAUGAAGGUCUUCGGAUCGUAAAACUCUGUUAUUCGGGAAGAACAUAUGUGUAAGUAACUGUGCACAUCUUGACGGUACCUAAACAGAAAGCCCCGGCUAACUACGUG
rnacentral:rRNA from 1 species